rnacentral:rRNA from 1 species
AUGAACGCUGGCGGCGUGCCUAAUACAUGCAAGUCGAGCGAACGGACGAGAAGCUUGCUUCUCUGAUGUUAGCGGCGGACGGGUGAGUAACACGUGGAUAACCUACCUAUAAGACUGGGAUAACUUCGGGAAACCGGAGCUAAUACCGGAUAAUAUUUUGAACCGCAUGGUUCAAAAGUGAAAGACGGUCUUGCUGUCACUUAUAGAUGGAUCCGCGCUGCAUUAGCUAGUUGGUAAGGUAACGGCUUACCAAGGCAACGAUGCAUAGCCGACCUGAGAGGGUGAUCGGCCACACUGGAACUGAGACACGGUCCAGACUCCUACGGGAGGCAGCAGUAGGGAAUCUUCCGCAAUGGGCGAAAGCCUGACGGAGCAACGCCGCGUGAGUGAUGAAGGUCUUCGGAUCGUAAAACUCUGUUAUUAGGGAAGAACAUAUGUGCAAGUAACUGUGCACAUCUUGACGGUACCUAAUCAGAAAGCCACGGCUAACUACGUG